rnacentral:lncRNA from 1 species
UGGCAUCUAAACGUUUAGUUUGGAAAUGGAUCCCGACGCGUUUAGCCGUUUACUAACUUCUGCACUGGCAAGUGGGCAAUUGGCCUAUGCCCUGCAAUCUGCCCUUCAAAACCAUUCAUCGUCGAACCCACCAAGUGGCAGUGUGGUAGCUCCAACAUCAUUUACCGGUGGUCAGCAGGGACAAACACCGCCUCGGCCACAAUUAGGGUGUUAUCCAACCUCUUCAUCGGCUGCUGGCUCGUCCGUGAAUCAAAAUGAAAGGCAACAAUAAUCGAUUUCAAUUGGAGGUGCCUCUGGUUAUAAUGGCCCCCAGAACUUUGUGCUACCUGGAUAUGGUUACGUCCCUCCUGAAGCUCUUGAUCGUGGUUCGAGAUUAAAACAACGCUCCCAAAAGUUCCGUACUCCCCCUCCUGGGCCAAGUUGGCGAAUUACAGGUAGACCACAGGUAGAGCCAAAGGCAUUUACCAAGGUACUAGUCUGUUUUUCUGCCCAUUCCCAUUCCCAUUCACCAUUCCACGUGAAACUAUGUGAAUACAAAUACAAAUUCA